GAUGAACGCUGGCGGCGUGCCUAAUACAUGCAAGUCGAGCGAACAGACGAGGAGCUUGCUCCUUUGACGUUAGCGGCGGACGGGUGAGUAACACGUGGAUAACCUACCUAUAAGACUGGGAUAACUUCGGGAAACCGGAGCUAAUACCGGAUAACAUGUUGAACCGCAUGGUUCAACAGUGAAAGACGGUUUUGCUGUCACUUAUAGAUGGAUCCGCGCCGCAUUAGCUAGUUGGUAAGGUAACGGCUUACCAAGGCAACGAUGCGUAGCCGACCUGAGAGGGUGAUCGGCCACACUGGAACUGAGACACGGUCCAGACUCCUACGGGAGGCAGCAGUAGGGAAUCUUCCGCAAUGGGCGGAAGACUGACGGAGCAACGCAGCGUGAGUGAAAAAGGUCUUCGGAUCGUAAAACUCUGUUAUUAGGGAAGAACAAAUGUGUAAGUAACUAUGCACGUCUUGACGGUACCUAAUCAGAAAGCCACGGCUAACUACGUG
rnacentral:rRNA from 1 species